rnacentral:rRNA from 1 species
UGGGGAAUAUUGGACAAUGGGCGCAAGCCUGAUCCAGCAAUGCCGCGUGAGUGAGGAAGGCCUUCGGGUUGUAAAGCUCUUUCGGCGGGGACGAUGAUGACGGUACCCGCAGAAGAAGCCCCGGCUAACUUCGUGCCAGCAGCCGCGGUAAUACGAAGGGGGCGAGCGUUGUUCGGAUUUACUGGGCGUAAAGGGCGCGUAGGCGGCGAUCUUUGUCAGGCGUGAAAGCCCCGGGCUCAACCUGGGAACCGCGCUUGGGACGGGAUUGCUGGAGACCGGGAGAGGAGAGUGGAAUUCCCAGUGUAGAGGUGAAAUUCGUAGAUAUUGGGAAGAACACCGGUGGCGAAGGCGGCUCUCUGGACCGGAUCUGACGCUGAGGCGCGAAAGCGUGGGGAGCAAACAGGAUUAGAUACCCCCGUAGUCC